CCUACGGGGCGCUGCAGUGGGGAAUAUUGCACAAUGGGCGCAAGCCUGAUGCAGCCAUGCCGCGUGUGUGAAGAAGGCCUUCGGGUUGUAAAGCACUUUCAGCGGGGAGGAAGGCGGUGAGGUUAAUAACCUCAUCGAUUGACGUUACCCGCAGAAGAAGCACCGGCUAACUCCGUGCCAGCAGCCGCGGUAAUACGGAGGGUGCAAGCGUUAAUCGGAAUUACUGGGCGUAAAGCGCACGCAGGCGGUCUGUCAGGUCGGAUGUGAAAUCCCCGGGCUCAACCUGGGAACUGCAUUCGAAACUGGCAGGCUAGAGUCUUGUAGAGGGGGGUAGAAUUCCAGGUGUAGCGGUGAAAUGCGUAGAGAUCUGGAGGAAUACCGGUGGCGAAGGCGGCCCCCUGGACAAAGACUGACGCUCAGGUGCGAAAGCGUGGGGAGCAAACAGGAUUAGAUACCCCAGUAGUC
rnacentral:rRNA from 1 species